rnacentral:rRNA from 1 species
GAGCACCUACGGGGGGCAGCAGUGAGGAAUAUUGGUCAAUGGACGCAAGUCUGAACCAGCCAUGCCGCGUGCAGGAUGACGGCUCUAUGAGUUGUAAACUGCUUUUGUACGAGGGUAAACCCCGAUACGUGUAUCGGGUUGAAAGUAUCGUACGAAUAAGGAUCGGCUAACUCCGUGCCAGCAGCCGCGGUAAUACGGAGGAUCCGAGCGUUAUCCGGAUUUAUUGGGUUUAAAGGGUGCGCAGGCGGCGUGUCAAGCAAGCGGUAAAAUAGCGGGGCUCAACCCCGUCGAGCCGUUUGAACUGG